AGGUGUUCUACGGAGACAGUUCUGACAAACAUUUCCCAGAGGUGGUGAGCGGAUCCGUGGGACUUCCGGUGGCUGUGCAGUGCAUUGCUUUGCUAUGGGAAGAUGAGCUGUGUCUCCGGUUCAUGAAGGAGGUAGACACCUUGGUCAAGAACCAGAGGGGGCCCAAGUGACAGGCUCCUGGAAUGGAGUAACAGCUCAAGAAACAUGGGGCUGGUUGUGGUGGCUCAUACCUAUAAUCCCAGCACUUCUGGAGGCAGAGGCUGGCAGAUUGCUUGAGGCCACGAGUUUGAGACCAAACUGGGCAACACAGCGAGACCUUGUUUCUAAAAUAGUUUCUUGGUGUUAUUCUUGUAGACCUUCCUAGAUCCUUACCCAAGUGUGCCCCUGAUGAACCUUCCUUCUCAUGAAUACCAUGUCCACCUAUGUCUCCUCCUUCUGGAACCCCACCAGGUUCCUUUUCUUUGUGGUCCCUCUGUGUGGGUGCUCAGUACUCCUCAGAUGGGCCCAAGAUGGGGAGCAGGGUGAGGAGCUCAAUAAACAUUUUCUGACUGG